GUAUGCACCGUGGAAUGCAGCGCGUCACCACUCACCACCACCUCUCGUCCCUCCCACGCACCGCCCCUACCUCCCGCACGCCGCAGCUCCAUCCUCCAAUCCCAGCGCGCCGCCGCGCCGCCCCUCCCAACCCAGCGCCGCCCCUCCCACCCCAGUGCACCGCCGCGUCCACAUCUCCCAAACUCGCGCACUGUCACCGUUGUGGCCACCUCCCUCUUCACCGCGCCGGUGGUCGCCCUCCCUAAUGUGCGCCGAUAGUCUUCCUUCCCCGCGCCGGCGGCCUCCCUCCCAACGCGUGCCGAUAGCCUCCCUUCCCCACGCCGACGGCCUCCCUCCCAUCGCGUGCCAACGACCACGCUUCCUAGAGCCGGCGGCGUCCCUCCCAAAGCACGCCGGCACCUCUGUUCCCCGUGCAGGCGGGGGGCAGCCUCCCUCCGAAUGCGUGGCACAUUUUCCUUCAAUGGACGUGCACAACUCGUGGCGCUACCUCCCUGGUCAGCUGGUUCCCGUCGGCCUCCUCGCCGCAACCGGACAAAUCCUCCAACGGGACCUCGGACGGCCCGACGCACUCCCUCGAACUGUCGCCCGUCCUCCCACGAACGGCCGGACCCGUUUACCUCCUCCAAUAUGCGCAGCGAAGGUGUUGUACGUCCUCCUCCCGAGCUCUGCCAUGAGAGGUUGCGCCUGCUCCACCGCCUAGGCGACCAUCAUGCCUGCCUCCAGACCCCUGCCGUCAUGUCGCGGCCUCUUCUGCCGUCAGGUCGUAGCCUCUUCUGUCGUCAGAUUGCGGCUUGUUCCUUCUGUAGGUCGCCGCCUCAUGCUGCUGUAGGCCGUGCCCCAUCCCCCAUUCUCGCAUGGUCGCCAAUGAGGUAUCCUACUACAACGGUGGUCACUGCCCUAGAACUCCCUCCGGUUCAUUUUGAUCUAAUUUUGCACAUUUGUUCUUUAUCUCAUGAAUUUUGUUAUGUAGGAGGUGACCAAUUGUUGAUCCUGAAGUUUCAUCGCAUGAUUUUUUGUCUUUGAAUUUUGCACCAAUUCUUGAUCCUGAAGCAUCAAUGCUUGAGCACUGUUUUUUGUGUGUUAGGUGAGUGUACAAUGCGUUGGGCAUGUGUUUUUAUUUUAUGUUCUGAGCAAAAAAAUUGACUACAAAAAUUGUGUCAUGAAAAGUUCAUGUACGCCUAUUGAGGUGGUUCUAAAAUUAGAACUUUUAAAGUUAAAAAAAUGAAAUCAGAUAUUUGGUUGUGGAGGUUCUUUUGUCCUUGAACUAUAUACGAGUUCAACUUUUAUUUGUUUUCAGUUCAAAUUUUGCGUUCUUUUCAGUACAUCAACUUUAAUGUGCAGAACAUCGAGGAAAACUCGAAAAUUAUAUGUGCACUAUAUGUAUUUUCUUAUGCUUACAAGAAUUCUGCACUCAUACUGUUAUGCAUCAGUUCAGGUCGCUUGUGGUGUUUUAGAUAUAUGCAAUUGGAUUACAGCACCAUGCUCUCACCCAAAAGUUAAACCCAUUGCUUUCACUUCUGUAACAUAUAUUUUUGUUUCAGUUUUGCUAAUUCUUUCUCCAAUGGCCUUUAUAUAUUAUCUUUCAUAUGUCUUACUAUAUGAAAAAUGUUGCCUUCAGCAAGAAAUCUUGCUCAGUUUUCUGGUUAAAAAAUAGACAACAUGGAUUACUACCAUGGGAAUUCAAAGAAACACCAUCUAUAAAAAACAGUACAAUUUGUGAGCUUCUUGCACACUAAUGAUGAGUUACUAGAUAAACUAAGGGCCAUCAUUUGUGGGCUCGUGGCCGGAACACGAAGCUCAAGUUGUGGUCCAGUAUGUCAGAAAAAUUCAGUUCACCUUCAUAGGCUUUUUCACUUCAUCUUAUCAAAAGCAAAAAAAAUCAAAUGCGCUUCAUAUAUGUGUACACCUUUGUAGGCUUUUUGAGUUCAAGUUUUGCUAGCAGAAAUAGAUUUGUGGCAGUUCAACAUAAAAAGUAAAAUCAGUUAGUUGAUGGGAGAUAAUUCACUUAUAUAUGCUUACACUGCAGUAGGAGUUUGGUACAAAAAAUUUCAACAGUUUGUUAAACAAAAAUAGAAACACAUACUGUGGUUUAGGGCCUAGACUACAAACACUUUAGUAACUAAAACUUGUUCAAAAUAUAGUUACAAUAGUAGUUCAGAGUUCAAAUAUAAUUAUCGUCGACGAAUUGGAAUUUUUCAGAUGUUGACAGGGAAAAAUGCACUGCUCAGUUCAGAAAUAGCUGAAAAAUAAGAACUAUAGCUUCCUGUAUGCAUGUUUUGUGUUCUUGCAACAAGUGACACCAAACCUGUUUGAUGGAAUGUUCAGAAGGAAUGAUCACACACAAGUGACACACUCAGUCCAAAAAUCUUAUUUUAUAUCAGUGCAAUUCUUAUGAAGCUCUAGUGGACCUUAUGAUUGCAGUAGAGCUGGACUUCCUCGUAUUCAAGUGCACUCAAGUAAGCUUCAUUUCUGUUUUGUUUAAAGCUACUCCCCAUAAAGUAGUAUAAUUCUUGUAUUCUCUGUACUCCCCAUUAUAUUGCCACUUGGUUCUCUUGCAUCAUUCACCUGUACAAGACCAGAAAAUUCUCAUGUGUAUCUUGCUAUGCAUGGUGAACUCAUAGAGGAAAUCAGCUUCUUCGUUUAUAAUCCUUUCUGACUGUGGUGAAUUAUACAUUAUUAUCAUUGUUCCAGGGAGUCUACAAGUGCAGGAAUGGAGGGCUCCCAGCCUAUCGAGACUGAAACAUUUGAGUACAUGCCCCCGCCCACUUGCACGCACCGCUUGCGCCCCCAGCGAGGUGCGCUGGGUUUGUCGGGCGGACGGUGGAGUUGGCUUCCCCGGACGAGGGCCACAACCUUUGCCAGGAGCUGACACCGACAACCACAUCUACUCCCGUGUGCCGCUGCCCACUCCCUCUCCUAGCGCCCUGCCGGCCUCUCACCGCCUCACUUGUACCUCCUCCCUGCUCUGCCCCUAGCCAUGCACGCAUGCCCCCGCCGCAGCGCACAGGCCGUUCACAGCCACCACACCAGUCUGUUUGCCACUGCCAAUCGAGGUCGUUCAACGAGAAAUCGUUCAACAAUGCAAAGGCAUAGUAGUACCGAUGUCCAAUGCCACGGUGCCUCCCAUGGCGGCCGUUCACUACCGCCACCCCGGACUGUUCAACAACACAAUGCCAAGCCGUUUGACGCUGCAGCUCUACCAUCGUUUGCAACUCCAACUUUCAUCGUGAGGUUCUGGAGGUUCACUUUUUUCAGUUUAUGUUUUGUAUGCUUUUUAGUUCGCGUACUUAAUGAAUGCAGGUCCAAUUUCUUCUCUAUGUCCCCAUGUCAAUUUCUUAAAUAUUGCUGGCCAGUAUGUUUACUUAUUACCAUAAACCUUUAUGCAUCAUUUUCAAGCCCUCACACCAUUUUAUUUCUCUGGCAUAAUUUCCAUAACAAAUGCCGACCAAUAUGCUUUUCUGGAGGUUCUGUGUAUGUUUUAGUGAAUCUCUAUUGAAAAUUAGCUCAUGUUUUAGUGAAUCAGAAGCCGUUUGUAUUUUUUUAUUGAUGCAUGUUCAUGAGCAGUUCAAAACGUGUAGUUGUUCCCUGCUUUUCUUUAACACUUGUUAGACUUCUCUCUAGAAACUGUAUGUGUUCGUGAAUUUCUACUGGUGUAGCAGCCCAAUAUGUAUUUUAUGAUCAGUUCAUAAAGGAAAGCUGAAACAGUGCAGUGUCUCUGUUAAAAAAUAAUUAAUUUUAAAUUGUAUGGUAGUCCAUUUUAGUAUUGUUCUAGUCUCGUAUAUACUUCAGUUCUAAAUACUUUGCUCAUUGUGAUCAGAGAUAAUACAAAGUAUGAUGCAGUUUUGAAAUAAUUCCUGGUGUCUCUUCAGAAGCAUUCAUGGUCAAAAGCAGCGGCAACCUCUAUUCAAGUUGAGCACUAGGCUUCGUCUAAGUUGAUCAAUCAUAUGGGGGUACAUAGCAGUGGGACAUCGAGCUUCAUGCCGAGCAAGUCCAUCCUUGAAGUGCGGUUGCUCUGCCCGUACCCACAAGACUUAUUGUCUUUCAUUGCUCUUAAAGUGUCCUGAUUGUUUUUAGUGGUACUGGUUUCGCAUAGUAUUGUUUUUAGUGGUACUGGUUUCCCCUGGUUUUAAGCUUUGGGAUGGUUGAAAUUCUAUUGGAGCAUCUGUUUGCUGCUCUGAGUUUUGUGUAAUUUGGUGGUACACGUUGGUUUUACA